CACAGUGGCAUCUAAAUGCAGUGGGGAGGAGUCCUGCCUGGGAAGGUCCUGAAAAAUGUAGCCGUUUUUAAGCUUCUCCUUUUCUUGGAUCCUCGCCUGUCUCCUCCCACAAAGCGAAAAAAAAAAGGUCACGUAUGUUUGGAAAAAUAUGUAGUGUGCAGGGACACCAAAGUACAGACCUAUGCCCCCAAGGCAGCGUUGGGGAGAACAGAGGGGGCGGACCGCCACUCACAUCCACGCACGCAUACACACGCAGGUGAGAGUGGGAGGGGGUUGCCAAACGCAGGCUUUUCUAGGAGCUGGGGGGAGGGUGGAAUCUUUCUGCCCCCCGGGUGCCAACUUUGAUAGGAACUCUUGCACCAUCUC